UUCAGAGGUCUCGAGCGUUGUUCGGAUUUACUGGGCGUAAAGGGAGCGUAGGCGGCCGGGUGUGUCGAAUGUGAAAGCCCACAACUCAACUGUGGAAUGGCAUUCGAAACUACCUGGCUAGAGUACUGGAGAGGAGAGCGGAAUUCUUGGUGUAGCGGUGAAAUGCGUAGAUAUCAAGAGGAACACCGGUGGCGAAGGCGGCUCUCUGGACAGAUACUGACGCUGAGGCUCUAAAGUUAGGGGAGCAAACAGGAUUAGAUACCCUGGUAGUCCUAACUGUAAACGGUGUACACUUGGUGUGCGAGGAAUUGUCCCUUUGCGCGCCGUAGCUAACGCGUUAAGUGUACCGCCUGGGGAGUACGGUCGCAAGAUUAAAACUCAAAGGAAUUGACGGGGACCCGCACAAGCGGUGGAGCAUGUGGCUUAAUUCGAUGCAACGCGAAGAACCUUACCUGGACUUGACAUGCAAGUGGUGCAUGGUU
rnacentral:rRNA from 1 species